GAGUUUGAUCGUGGCUCAGGAUAAACGCUCGCGGCGUGCAUCAAACAUGUAAGUCGAACGUCCAGCGCAAGCUGGGAGUGGCGUACGGCUGAGUUACACGUCGGUAACCUGUCCCACAGUGGGGAAUACCCCAACGAAAGUUGGAUUAAUACCGCGUACGCCUCCCGAUGGCGACAUCGGGACGGAAAGCCGCAAGGCGCUGAGGGAGGGGCCGGCGGGCGAUUAGGUAGUUGGAGUGGUAAUGGCACACCAAGCCGAUGAUCGCUAGCGGGUCUGAGAGGAUGAUCCGCCAGACUGGGACGGAGGACGGCCCAGACACCUACGGGUGGCAGCAGUUAGGAAUUUUGCGCAAUGGGGGCAACCCUGACGCAGCAACGCCGCGUGGAGGACGACGCCCUCGUGGGGUGGUAAACUACCUUUUCCGGUAGGGACGGAUAAUGACGGUACCUCCGGAGAAGACCUCGGCGUAACUACGUGCCA
rnacentral:rRNA from 1 species